rnacentral:tRNA from 1 species
GGUUAGCUCAGUGGUCAGAGCAUCCGACUAGAUGACGGAGGGCCAUGGGUUCAAAUUCCAUGUGGGACU